CUCCUCCCUCUUGUGACGUCCCUGGCUGAAUGCGCAUGCGCGGCAAGAGACGCACGCAUUCAGUCAGUCCAUAGGAAAGCAUUCUCAAUGCUUUCCUAUGGACGCUGGUGUCUUCUCACUGUGAAAAUCACAGUGAGAAGCGCGGAAGCACCUCUAGCGACUGUCAAUGAGACAGCCACUAGAGGCUGGAUUAACCCAUAGGUAAACAUAGCAGUUUCUCUGAAACUGCUAUGUUUACAGCAAAAAGAGUUAAACCUAUCUGGACCUGGCACCCAGACCACUUCAUUAAGCUGAAGUAGUCUGGAUGCCUAUAGUGGUCCUUUAACUACCAUUAGCCUAGGCAAAUUCUUUGUCGUUUUUCUAUGGCUUUUCCC